UUGUGAUUCCAUGACGUUGCUAGGAGAAAAACAAAACAUUCCGCUUUCUCAGCAGGGGAACCUCAGUGCCCACAGCUCACAGAGGGCAGGACACAGACCACAUGCACGUGGUAUAUGCACAAACACGGGGUCUGUGUAAUGAGAAGUCUCAGGUUUCCUGGAAGGUUCACGCUUUUUGAUGGAUUUGCUUGCCUGGAAAACAGUCCAGCUCAUUCUCUGCCAAGCUCAGAGACGUUCAUCAGGAUCUGCAGAAUAAAUAGUUUUCAUGCUUGAGAAAGCGACACUUUUUUUUAAAAGGAACCUCAAACCCACAGUGCAAUCUUUUGUUUUAAUCCUGAUUCUGGAAGAUCACCAACAACCAUUGGAUAUGCCAACCCCAGGAUGUUUUUGAACAGAGUUUUUAAUUCUAAAGCAUGUGGUUUUUCUUGUGGCAUAUAUUAAAAUGUUGAAUAAUUAACAAGAAUUGGCUUUGGGAAAUCUAAAUUGGUUGACUACAGAACAUUUUUAGAAAAGCGUUCUGGUGUAUUCAAACAGGCACCUGUUGGGAUUUUCCCAUAAAGUCCCCUCUCAUCGGCCAGAUGGAAGAAACAAUUAAUUAGUAAGAAUUAUAACUUGUCAAUAAUUCAUUGAGCACCUACUAUAUGUGAGAUAUAUUAUUUCUUGUAUUUACAUGACAGGACGUUAAAAGGAGACUCUUUUGAUCCAGUUUUCAAAGGUAUCAGUAUGUUGGUUAUGAGCCAGUGUGAGAGAGACCUUCCCACAUGCAGGAUUUACCAUGGGAAUGAAGGAGAACUUGUUCUAUGUCUACACUUACCUGAUUUGAAAUUAUGAAAGACUGAGAGAAGAUUCAUAAAGGGAGCGGAGUGUCACCUUCUAGCCUCAGGCCUAGUGAAGACCUUGGAAAGACUCUCAGACCUUCAGAACAUUUUCCCUGGUGUCUUCCCCACCUCCAGGGCCAGAGUGCAAAGUCACUUGCUAAGUGAGAAACGGUCCUCUACUCUUUCCCUCAGUCUUACCUCCCCUUCUCUAAACCUGGCAAGCAGAUCCAAAAGAGCAGCUCCUGGGCAGAAGGUGAACUGGGAGAGAACAAAGAGCAGAAAGAUAGCCUCUCUCUCCCCACUGUUCACAGAAGCAGACCUGAGCUUGGAAAGGGAAGAUAAGAAGCUAAGUCCCAUUGAGAGUUCUGGAUCAUUAAAAAGAACUGGACGGUG